AAAGCAGUGAUGGGACUGAAUAAAGUUGUCAGAACAACCACUUGAAGAUUUAACAAGUGGGGAAGCACUAUUUAUUCAAGAAAACCCACUAAAUCUUGAUUGCUGCCAAACGAGCUACCUCCAUGCUAAUGAAGCACCUUGCUGUCUGCUGAGUGCGCAUUAAGGAAGAGGGGCAUACGUGAUUGUAGAGCCCAUAACUGGUGAAAUACUGGAGGUGGUAAAGAAGACGUGACCACCCUCUGAUCUGCAAGCUAGAAUUGGAUAAUCCCUACCCCCCUUGCCAGUUCUCGGAAUGUUGGUUUCAACAGAAGCUGCUCCAAGGACACAGCCUUGAGACACAGAUAUGGUGUGGAAGCUAUCUGGACCGGGUAUAUGACAAAAGCCAGGAAGUUUUAACUUGACUUAUUGCCAGCUCCUUCCUGGCUCCCUGUAAGCCUUCAACGAGCAGCUUCACAACUUUGGUGGCUGUGGAAACCUGUGGCCACACGGAACCUGGAGGAGACAGGGUGAGUUUGGGGUUCCACACCAGCCCUGCCCCAAGAGAAUUAAAAGUUGACUAUUAUGAACAACCAUAGGCCAACCAAUCAGACAACUCAGAUGAAAAGGACACAUUCUUAGAAAGACAUAAACUACUGAAAAUGACUGAAGAAGAAACAAUCUAUGUAUAGACCUCUACGGGAAUGGCCUCAGUACAUUUAAAUCUUCUCAUAAGGAAAAGCCCAAGCCCAGCUUUCUUCCAUGGCAAAUGACUCAAGAACAUUUAAGUAUAUUUUUAUGUGGAUUACACAAAUUUAUAAACCUCUUCAAUAGAGCCAGAGCUAACUUCAGGAGGAUAUAAUGUAAAUAGUAGGUAGGAGGACUACUUAAAUGAAAGACUAUACGCAUAUUUAGUAAAAAAUUUCAAGACUUCAUAGAAAUGUAAAUUUAAAUUGUUUCACCAUGGCUGUGAAUAGAAGAGAA